rnacentral:rRNA from 1 species
UACGUAGGGGGCUAGCGUUGUCCGGAAUCAUUGGGCGUAAAGAGCGUGUAGGCGGCCCGGUACGUCCGCUGUGAAAGUCGGGGGCUCAACCCUCGAAUGCCGGUGGAUACUGUCGGGCUAGAGUGCGGAAGAGGCGAGUGGAAUUCCUGGUGUAGCGGUGAAAUGCGCAGAUAUCAGGAGGAACACCAAUGGCGAAGGCAGCUCGCUGGGACGUUACUGACGCUCAGACGCGAAAGCGUGGGGAGCAAACAGG